rnacentral:rRNA from 1 species
UCACACUUUCAAACUUGACCUCAAAUCAGGUAGGACUACCCGCUGAACUUAAGCAUAUCAAUAAG